AUUGAACGCUGGCGGCAGGCUUAACACAUGCAAGUCGAGCGAGCGGCGGACGGGUGAGUAAUGUAUGGGAAUCUGCCUGAUAGAGGGGGAUAACUACUGGAAACGGUAGCUAAUACCGCAUACCAUCGGAUGAGCCCAUAUGGGAUUAGCUAGUAGGUGGGGUAAAGGCUCACCUAGGCGACGAUCCCUAGCUGGUCUGAGAGGAUGAUCAGCCACACUGGGACUGAGACACGGCCCAGACUCCUACGGGAGGCAGCAUGGGGGAAUAUUGCACAAUGGGCGCAAGCCUGAUGCAGCCAUGCCGCGUGUAUGAAGAAGGCCUUAGGGUUGUAAAGUACUUUCAGCGGGGAGGCGUUACCCGCAGAAGAAGCACCGGCUAACUCCGUGCCAGCAGCCGCGGUAAUUC
rnacentral:rRNA from 1 species